AACGAGACCUUAACCUGCUAAAUAGCCAGGCUGGCUUUGGCUAGUCGCCGGCUUCUUAGAGGGACUGUCAGCGUCUAGCUGACGGAAGUUUGAGGCAAUAACAGGUCUGUGAUGCCCUUAGAUGUUCUGGGCCGCACGCGCGCUACACUGACAGAGCCAGCGAGUUCUUUUCCUUGGCCGGAAGGUCAUGGGUAAUCUUGUGAAACUCU
rnacentral:rRNA from 1 species